AAGUCGGUGAUGGAGAAGAAGAUUGCAGACUUGGUACACCUUGAGAGGGAACCAUAGAAAUUGGAGGCAUAUGUGAAAAUGCAGGUCCGGAAACCAAAGAAGGCAAAAUAGUUGGUUCCACUUUUACAGUUGCAGUGGGGAUGUUUCCCAUUGAAACCGCCUGCCGAUUAACUGACCCAUUCACUGUUGAAAUAGAUGCUGAAGUUGACCCCGGGAUAAGAUUUCCAGAAGAAGUCACAUCCACCUUAAUGUUGUUUUGGUUAGAGGUCAUAUUUCCAGCUAAUGGACGGCUUAGAGCAGCUCG
rnacentral:misc_RNA from 1 species